GUCCUUUUGAAAGAUUCUCUUGGAAAAGCACGACCGUGACCGUUUCAGAUUGACCCACGAGAUCGAUGCUAUACAGUCUAUGGAUCGGAGACGUCGACAUUUCUCCGCAGGACAGUAAAGUUAGAACAUGGGGAACCCUCUUGAAGGCCAAAGUCAUAAAGCAAGCCAGAAACCUCAGCAAGACACCCCGGCUUGACUACCUCAUCCAGUGUGCAGAGGAGAACCCUGAUGAUGAUGAAGAGGUCCCAGGUUGAGACAGUGACAUGGCCUCACUGCUACUGCUGGUCCAUCUUCUGCCACCAAGUCAAAAUAAGGGAGCUGUGAAGAUCAGUGUCCGGGAAGCUGUGAACCGUGUAGUCAAUUUUCAUAAGUCAUGUCGCAGCCUUCAGGAGUACGCCGGUCCAGACCAGAGGAGGCAACCAUACAUCCUAGCAGUUGGGACCACAAGAAACAGCAUCCAUAAGUACUACAUUGCGUUGGAUGGUGAUCUCCUUCCCUGCAAGGCCAAUUCUUCCCUGUCAGCUUUUGAUUAACUUUUUAAAGCACAUUAUGGGUUUGGGAUCUCCAAUGACCUGGACACAUUUAUGCAGACCACCAUCUACAACAUUGAUGUAGGUCUUUCUCACGAAACUCCCAGAUUCAAAGACCUUAGGGCUAAGCUCCUCAACUGAUGUUAAGAUGCUUUGGUUGCAAGUCCACUUUUGUCACCAUUCAACAGUUGGUCUGUCAUCUCAAGGUUUCACAUGCAUUUUAUCCUGGUAAGAAGUUUCAAUUGUUGUGUGACCAGAAUGGAUGCCACCAGAGAUUUUGCACUUUUUCAGGCUUCAGGAAACAUCUCCAUAGCAAACAUAGCGCUGAUAGUGAUGAGGCCUAAUGAGCAAAUUCUCAAAUGCUCACCUAUGACCAAUAUAUUGUGUGGGUUGGUUGUGGUUGCUACUGAUUAGAUGUUAUCUAAGUAAAACUCAUUUUUGAAAAUAAA